rnacentral:rRNA from 1 species
UNUGACUUGAGUGCAGAAGGGGAGAGUGGAAUUCCAUGUGUAGCGGUGAAAUGCGUAGAUAUAUGGAGGAACACCAGUGGCGAAAGCGGCUCUCUGGUCUGUCACUGACGCUGAGGCUCGAAAGCGUGGGUAGCGAACAGGAUUAGAUACCCUGGUAGUNCACGCCGUAAACGAUGAGUGCUAGGUGUUAGGCCCUUUCCGGGGCUUAGUGCCGGAGCUAACGCAAUAAGCACUCCGCCUGGGGAGUACGACCGCAAGGUUGAAACUCAAAGGAAUUGACGGGGGCCCGCACAAGCGGUGGAGCAUGUGGUUUAAUUCGAAGCAACGCGAAGAACCUUACCAGGUCUUGACAUCCCGAUGCUAUUCUUAGAGAUAGGAAGUUACUUCGGUACAUCGGAGACAGGUGGUGCAUGGUUGUCGUCAGCUCGUGUCGUGAGAUGUUGGGUUAAGUCCCGCAACGAGCGCAACCCUUAUUGUUAGUUGCCAUCAUUAAGUUGGGCACUCUAGCGAGACUGCCGGUAAUAAACCGGAGGAAGGUGGGGAUGACGUCAAAUCAUCAUGCCCCUUAUGACCUGGGCUACACACGUGCUACAAUGGUCGGUACAACGAGUUGCGAGCCGGUGACGGCAAGCUAAUCUCUGAAAGCCGAUCUCAGUUCGGAUUGGAGGCUGCAACUCGCCUCCAUGAAGUCGGAAUCGCUAGUAAUCGCGGAUCAGCACGCCGCGGUGAAUACGUUCCCGGGCCUUGUACACACCGCCCGUCACACCACGAGAGUUUGUAACACCCGAAGUCGGUGAGGUAACCUUUUAGGGNCCA